rnacentral:lncRNA from 1 species
UCAUACUCAAUGAAUGAAGUGACAACCACGUUUGAAAUCACUUGAACAUCAGCAACGAGACAAUCAAGGUCUACUGCAACUAAAGUUAAAAUCGUUUUUGAGAUUUGUUACAUGUUUUACAUUCUGUUAAUUUCGUUAAGUUAAUUGAAGGGGUGCACAAGUUUUCUUUAGUUAUUUAAGUACUUGAUUUCUACGUGAUUCACAUUGUUUCCUAUUAUGUCACCGCCAUGCUUCCUGAACGUGAUGAUUCAGUUGUGGGAGAUGUAACUUCAUGAAACAAGCUCUGGAGAUUUGACAUGGUUGUGCGUCUACCUGUCUCAUGCUGUGAAGAAAAAUGUAGAGGAUUGUCUUUUUUGUUGGUGGUGCUGGGAUGUUGGAUAACAGGU